CUCUUAUCCAGAGCGACUUACAGUAGUGAAUGCAUACAUUUCAUACAAUUUCAUACAUUUUUUUUCGUGUGUGUGUGUGUGUGUGUGUGUGUGUGUGUGUGUGUGUGUAAAAUGUGCAGCUUCACUGUUUUCAAGGGAACUGCUUUUUCACAGUCAACCUGAAUCCCAAACAGUGGGCGAAUGUGCUUUUCUCUACAGUUUCCAUGAGGGCAUUCCAUCUGCUUCCUGCCAUUCUUCCACAGGAAAUUCUGGGAACAGCGUCAGACAGGCCAUGGCAACCACUCCCACCUCACACUGAACCCACGGUAGAGGGCAAGUAACUACUAACCACCACUCUAUGCAACACGACGGCAACAUCUCGCUUCCAGGACCUUAACCAUACUCUCUCAUUAACACAGGCAAAUACACACAGACACACACUCAGGCCACAAGUUGAGAGAGCUGCCAUACACGGACACACUCAGAGAGACUCCAUACUCUCUCUAGUACGUUCAUGACAGUGGGUUCUCUUGCCCUGAGUGACCCCACACAUUUUACACAUUCAAUAAUACAUACACACAGUGGGAAUUUGCAAAGCUCCAGACAGAGGAAAAGCUGUGGAUUUGGACAUGGAUCUGCUUCUGUAUCCUGUCCCUCUGCUGAGUGUGUUUCUCCUCAUUCCAGCAGUGACCUCACCCACAACACUGUCAUCCAACACUAUUCAUGUGGCUGGCAGCGUAACCACCCCAACUACAGCCCAUCCAAUGACUGAUGUGACAUCAUCCCCAGCACUCUCACCGCCAGGGAACAACCCUCUUGUGACAACCCUCAGUGUCCUGCAAUCAACAACCUCACCUGGAAAUGACAGCAGUGACAAUGAGGCACCCACAUCCUCACUUCGACUAUCGUGUCCUAAUGUCAGAAGCUCUGCUCAGACUAAAAUACCUAGUACGCACUCACAAGACACUGCUGCUGGACCAGUCUUAGGAUCAACAGCUGCUGCAACAGCAACUACUUCGACCUCUGUGACUUCCCCUGAGGGACCCAAAGGGACACACACAGACAUCCCUCCCACUCAGUCACCGGACAAGAGCCUCACCAUGCUCGCCUUUGGUGUCAUGAGUUUAAUCCUCAUUCUCGUCAUUAUCAUGGUGGUUUUAGUAACAGUGGUCAACCUAAAAGACAAGUGCAGCAACUCCAAGGAGGAAGGUAAAAAGAGCAGUGAUUCUGUGGUGUCUGAAAGCAAUGUCACGUUUAGUGGAGAAAAAGAGAGCAUCACUUUGAUCUCCAUGAAGACCAUUAACACAGAAACUGACACAGACUCCCCCCAGGUCUCCUCCAUUCACAGUACAACACUGGACUAUGAGGAGCAGGAGCUAAACACAGACCUACUGAACAAUAAGCUGGUGUGAAAAUAAAGACCCUAGAUGUUCCGUUCCAAAACACAGAAAUCACCAAACUACUCAAACAAAAUAGUACAGUGAUUGUUCUAUACAUCUGAGAUCAAGUUACCUGGAGUCCACACAGGACCUGAAUUCAUACCUGUGGGGAUAUUAUACAUUAAGCUAGAACUAGGCCUAUCGUUGUGUCUCAUGUUGCCAUUCUAAUACAAAUAUCACAUGUAUUUGUGUGAUGAUAUCAAAACUGCCUUUAUGGAGAUAAUGUUGUGUGUUCUGUUUCAUAUAUUUUGUAAUUUUAUUUCACCUUUAUUUAACCAGGUAGGCCAGUUGAGAGCAAGUUCUCAUUUACUACUGCGACCUGGCCAAGAUAAAGCAAAGCAGUGCGACAAAAACAACACAGAGUUACACAUGGGAUAAACAAACGUACAGUCAAUAACACAAUAGAAAAAUCUGUAUACAGUGUGUGCAAAUUAAGUAAGGAGAUAAGGCAAUAAAUAGGCCAAUAGUGGUGAAGUAUUUCAAAUUUAGCAAUUUACACUGGAGUGAUAUGUGCAGAUGAGGAUGUGCAAGUAGAAAUACUGGUGUGCAAAAGAGCAGAAAAACAAAAACAAAUAUGGGAGGAGGUAGGUAGUUGGUUGGAUGGGCUAUUUACAGAUGGGCUGUUUACAGCUGCAGCGAUCAGUAAGCUGCUCUGAUAGCUGACGCUUAAAGUUAGUGAGGGAGAUAUGUCUCCAACUUCAGUGAUUUUUGCAAUUCGUUCCAGUCAUUGGCAGCAGAGAACUGGAAGGAAAGGCAGCCAAACGAGGUGUUGGCUUUGGGGAUGACCAGUGAAAUAUACCUGCUGGAGUGCAUGCUACGGGUGGGUGUUGCUAUGGUGACCAGUGAGCUGAGAUAAGGCGGAGCUUUACCUAGCAAAAACGUAUAGAUGACCUGGAGCCAGUGGGUUUGGCGACGAAUUGGCGACGAAUAUGUAGCGAGGACCAGCCAAUGAGAGCAUACAGGUCACAGUGGUGGGUAGUAUAUGGGGCUUUGGUGACAAAACUGAUGGCACUGUGAUAGACUGCAUCCAAUUUGCUGAGUAGAGUGUUGAGGCUAUUUUGUAAAGGACAUCGGCGAAGUCAAGGAUCGGUAGGAUAGUCAGUUUUACGAGGGUAUGUUUGGCAGCAUGAGUGAAGGAGGCUUUGUUUCGAAACAGGAAGCCGAUUCUAGAUUUAACUUUGGAUUGGAGAUGCUUAAUGUGAGUCUGGAAGGAGAGUUUACAGUCUAACCAGACACCUAGGUAUUUAUAGUUGUCCACAUAUUCGAAGUCAAAACCGUCCAGAGUAGUGAUGCUAGUCAGGCGGGCGGGUGCGGGCAGCGAUCAGUUGAAGAGCAUGCAUUUCGUUUUACUUGCGUUUAAGAGCAGUUGGAGGCCACGGAAGGAGUGUUGUAUGGUGUUGAAGCUCGUUUAGAAGUUGUUAACACAGUGUCCAAAAUAGGGCCAGAUGUGUACAGAAUGGUGUCGUCUGUGUAAAGGUGGAUCAAAGAAUCACCCACAGCAAGAGUGACAUCAUUGAUAAAUACAGAGAAAAGAGUUGGCUCGAGAAUUGAACCCUGUGGCACCCCCAUAGAGACUGCCAGAGGUCCGGACAACAGGCCCUCCAAUUUGACACACUGAACUCUAUCUGAGAAGUAGUUAGUGAACCAGGCGAAGCAGUCAUUUGAGAAACCAAGGCUGUUGAAUCUGCCGAUAAGAAUACGGUGAUUGACAGAGUCGAAAGCAUUGGCCAGAUCGAUGAAGACGGCUGCACAGUACUGUAUUUUAUCGAUGGCGGUUAUGAUAUCGUUUAGGACCUUGAGUGUGGCUGAGGUGCACCCGUGACCAGCUCGGAAACCAGACUGCAUAGCGGAGAAGGUACGGUGGGAAUCGAAAUCGUCGGUGAUCUAUUUGUUCACUUGGCUUUCGAAGACUUUAGAAAGGCAGGGCAGGAUUGAUUUAGGUUGGUAACAGUUUGGGUCUAGAGUGUCUCCCCAUUUGAAGAGGCUGCUUUCCAAUCUUCAGGAUCUCAGACGGUACGAAAGAGAGGUUGAACAGACUAGUAAUAGGUGUUGCAGCAAUUGCGGUGGAUAAUUUUCGGAAGAGAGGGUCCAGAUUGUCUAGCCCAGCUGAUUUGUAGGGAUCCAGACUUUGCAGCUCUUUCAGAACAUCAUCUGUCUGGAUUUGGGGCUUGG
rnacentral:lncRNA from 1 species